CAUGAGAGUGCAUAUAAUUCAGUUGUGCUGACUUGCUGUUUCUAAAAUGAUAAGCUGGAGCUGGAGUUACAUAUGAGAGUACAGAUAAUUAAGUUGUGCUCCUGACUUGAUUAACAAAAGCUGCAGAAGAAAGGGACAAAAUACCAAAAAGCUGAAAAUUUGAAGAAAGGUGGAAGUAGGGAACUACCCAACUUGAUUCAAGAUUACGAAGGGAAAAAGGGCAUUGAUUGAGCAGGAGAAAACAAUAAUGGGCCGAGGCAAGGAUAUAGUGCUCAGUUAGUAAAGAGAUAUGUGGGAAGUGGAGCAGCGGGAUGCAAAUGGAAUUUUUGUGACUCACUGAAGGUGAGCAAAACUUCAGAAAAGAAAUUGCAACAGAAGUAGAGCCUCAUCACCAAGAGAACAUAGGGAUUUUAAGUUUUUUGUAGCCUGCACCGGAGACUGUAGAGUUAAGUUUCUACAUCUCAGUGUACAAUUUAACUAUAUCAGGUUAUUUACUAUGUAGUAAAUAUUUGCUUUUGCCAUUGCUGAUCAUGUCCUUCUCUCUGUGCUUGGAAGCAUAAACUUACUUAGCGAUCCUUUUUUGUUAGGCUAAACUUACAUCCUUCUGCUAAUAGUUUAGUGAUCUAAUGAUUAUAAUGAUUAUUCAAAAGGGACAUUGCAUGUUCCUAGAUGCAUAGCCUUUCUUAUAUAUGUUUUCAUAACACUGGAUUUUUUUAGGGAUAACACUAGGAUUUUAGUUUUUUUGUUGAAUUCUGAAACUGAAAUCCGAAUAAACCAUAUCUUGAAAGGCCAGCAUAAUGGCACUUCAAAUAAAUGCUAAUCUACACUCACACUGCAGGCUGGUGCCCGUUCUUCUGGUGAUUUGGUCAAAGCUACUACUAAGCAAAGAUAUUUUGCAUGCUAUAAGAACAUGUAGGUUCAUAUCGGGCACCCAUACGAUCCUGCUAAGAAUUUUGAAUUACUUAGAUAUAUUAGCAACAACAUCGUUUAAAAUCCAAAUGAAUGGCAUACUCCCUGUUAAUUCAAAUGCAGAUACAAACUUUAAGCUUUUCUAAAUAAGGAAAUAUAUUUACAGUCCAAGUGUAGUAAUCUGGGAGUUUGAAAUUAUUUCCCCUUUUUAAAAAGCCAGAGACAUUGAAGUUAAUAUUCACAUACAUGGCAGGGAAGGAUUGAUCUCUCUGCUUAGCAAUGAAUUUGUAGCACCCGAUGAAAACAAAUAUUGUGCAGACCCUAUGGCGUCAUUGUGUUAGUAGGCCGUAUUGGCGUUGCAAUCUCCUCUUGGACUAACUAAUGCAUAGGUUAUAAAGCACAUCAAACCUUUUGUAGACCAACAAAUCCAACAUGCUAUGUAGAUCUUGUGUGUACGGAUUAAUCUGAUUGAUGACUGAUGGAAAGCUUCAGGACUUGUAUUCCCCCCUCACCCCAUAUCUGUAGUUUCCUAUGAGUCACUUUCAAAUCUGGAUAUUCUCCUAUAUAUUAACUACUGCAUUGGAGGAAAUUAAGUCACUUGCAAUCUACAAUUAAAGAAUAAUUAAGUGGGACCUUGAGAAACAAUAGUUUGCCAUGGUCUGCAAUGGGGCAGAGCCAAAGAGUUUGACCAGAAUAAAAGUCUGGACAACAAAAUUCAAUGGAGAGAGAUAUCCAUCUGUUACCCACAAAUGAUUAUUUUUUUGUUAGUGCCUCUUCUUCUUUCUUGCCCAUUAUUUAGUUAUAACGUGACAAAAUAAACAUGUUGAUUAUACCCGACUUGCACUGAACAUGAAAUUUUUGUUUAUGCACAAACAUGCGAGUUGUGUAGUACUGUAGGUUGACACUGCAUCGAAACAUAACACACAAUUACAUGUGCGUGUAUGAGGAGAAACUAUACCUGCAGCACACAUCCAUCUAUCUCGGUUUAUGGUGAACUGGCAAAUUUAUGGUAAUGAAGCAUGUAGCUGAGGUGUGAGACAAAUCUUCCGUAGAGUGUUAAUGUUGUUAGUAGUAAUUAACUUGUCUCCUAGGAGCUAACUGCAGCAACUUACCUUGAUUGUUAGAUACAGUAUAGCAUUAUUCAUCUUCAUCCAUGAUUGAUUCUUCUGUUUGCUGCAAUUCUUUGACAAUUCUUAGCAUCACACAACCAAAGGUGAGAAGCAAAAAUUUGAAGCACGGAACAAAAAAUUCACAAACCAAUGCAUUUAGUAACCAUCGUGGUUCUUACAGGUCCUUUCCUUUGCAAUCCAAAUUCCAGUUCUAUGACUUGAAAGGAAGGAUGAAGUCCAUGUCAUGAAAAUUUUAAUAUGUGGUCGCUGCCUCCUCCAGCCAUGGAUUUCAAAGGUACGCAGAUUCACCUACAACAUGCAUAUGGGAGAACUUGCAGAUCUGAAGGAAUCAAGCAUCUAGCUAAGGUGCUUGUAGCCACGAUCAGUGCUCCAUCGAGCAAUUUCUUAGGGCUGCACAGAUGCAACAACCUGGUAGAUAGGAUCAUCCUCUAUCAAAAAUAGCCAAAGGAAGAUGUCAACAUCAGAGAUCCCAUAUAGGCCAGGAUAAUGUCAAAAUAUCUUGGCAUGGGCACGUGGCUCAUAGCCUGAACUUGACACCGUUUACUCCAUGCUCGUGGUGGAGGCCUAGUCUCGACGGGGGCAUGGCAGUGGCGUGCGUUAGGAUUGGAUUCCGUCGAAGACCUAUGAUUGAUUUUCUAGCUGAGGCUGCGUGCGUGAGGGCUGGAGAGUCGGUUGUAGCCACGGGAUUCUGGCGGCGGCAGCGUGCGUGAAGGCAGGGGAGUCUGUAGCCCUAUUAUGUUUUUCUUCUUUCAACGAUGGACUCAGGUAAUGGCAUGACCCUGUAUAUUUUAUCUUCUUUUCAUCAUGGAGUCAAGGUUUCUAAAAAAAUUAUGGCAUUGCUGAAUCGUAGAGGCAGGUGAAAGCUAUUUUGACGCAUCAUAUGCUUUAGUAGGAGUUAUCUCUACCUCUCUAUCUCUACCUAAUCUCUACCUAAUAAUAAUAAAGCAAAUUGGGUUUCUGCUUGUCCGUCAUUAGCAUUUUUUCUAAAAAGGCCCUCCCUUUUUUAGUAUUUAACCCGCAGUAUAAUUUAAAGUCUGUUUCUUCCUGAGAUAAUGAUUCGUUUUUUGCAAAAAGGACCCCGGCACCACCACCACAGCCCCGCCUUAUCCACUGCCGGCAUUCACAAACGGGCAGCGGCGCGCUUGCCGCGGCGUCCGCUCCGCCCGAGCCCUGUAAUUGGGCGAGGCGUCGCGGCGGCGUUCCUGCACGCCUUGUCGGCCUUGGAGCUAGCCUUGGCGGGGGCGGGCCGAGGCGUCGCGGCGGAGGACGAUAAGCAGACGAGCACGCGCCGCCGGCGCGUUUGCCGUGGGCGUCCGCUACGCCCGAGCCCAGGAGUGGGGCGAGGGGUCGCGCCGGCGUUCCUACGCGCCUUGUCGCCCUUGAAGCUGGCCUUGGCGGACCGAGGCGUCGCGGCGGAGGACGACAAGGCGGCCGACGUGCUCUGUUGGGGCCACGCGUCGCGGCGCUCCGGCUCCAGCAGAUGACGGCAGAGAGCCAGGUGUGGCUUUGUGUCGCCAACAGCCACGAGGUCAUCGGCACCGGCCACCGUGCCAGGCUGGACCAGCUGCUGCAGCCCCCCUGCGCCGUCGCCGUCGCCGUGGCAGAAGAAGCGCGAGUUCCCCCUCGCUAUCGGAGGCUGGGUGUCGUUCUCCAGUGCAGAUUGUCUAAUUGAGUUUCUGAAAGCGUCGUCCACGUCUGCACUUCAUGGGUCCAUACACUGGGAACUCACGCCUGAGAACUUCCUGCUCACCAGAUUGGUUUCAGUUUCUCUGUCUCCAUCGAAGAAGGUCAGCCCUUUGCCUCGAACAGUUUCAUGAUUACACUCAUGACAUGAUUUACAGUACAGUAGUCUCAUGCGUUGAGCUCAUAAUACUGCAGUACGGACAUACAUUUUCCAAGCAUAAAUUAAUGCAGAAGUUAUUGCAACAGGAGGGCCUCUAAUUGUAAUUCAUAUACACAUUUCAGCUCAAUAACCAUAUAACGCAUCUUGCCCGAGCUUGAUACUUCCGACUAUCUCCAUGUCUUUCGGGUCAAAGUUAAGUUAGCUCUAUAUCCGAGCAGGCAUUUUAUUCUUUGGGAGCAAGCAAGAAUCAAUAUAUUCUCUCGCAAUAUUAUUUCCUCCUUCCCCUUGUCUUCCUAAUCCCCUGCAGAUGGCAUGACUAGCUAGGUUCAUAACAGUUGUUGUAACUAUCCGUCCGGUCAUGAAUCAACAAUUACAAUUGUUUUGACUUCUACGAUCAGUUCAGCCGCCUAUGUUGUACUGCCGCUGCCAUUUAAAGAUUUAAGUUGUCAGGUGGAUAUAGGUUCCAUUAGAUUGAAAGUAAUGAAAUUUUAUUUGCCAACCUGGCUGCACUUUGUGAUGCUUUAUUUAUGUAUAUACUUAAAGUUCAAAUGUGAUGUAUGCUUUACUCCUUAUUUGAUACUUGCAUUUGUCGCAAGCACCUUGCUGUUCUGAGUAAUGGUUGAUAUCUUACAUUUAGCCGAGAAGCUGAAAACUUACGAGAUGGAAAACCUUCUAGAUAUACCUAAAAAGACCUUGAAGAUAUCUUCUACUAGACUGGACGAGCUGAUUGACUGGCGAUGGGGAUGCAGCAGUGACCUGCAAUUCUUUCUGCUGUGGAUGGUUCAUUUUGAAAUCUUUUUUAUAUCUGACAAGACACAAGAAAACAACAUAUCUAUCCUGUUAUAUUUACCACUAUCAUCUACAGUGAGUGCUAAGUUGCCCAUAAAUUUUAGUUGACUUCUGUUCAGAGUGAUCUGAAAAAUAGAUAGCAUAAAAGAUUAGUGGGUAUUACAUUUAGAUUAGUUACAUUUGGGCAAAUAAAUGAGUAGAAGUCAAUUUUGUUUGCUUGAUGUUUCACUUCUUUGAUCUCUUCAUCAUUCUCAUUUUGUUUCAUUGCUUACCAUUUGUUCGAAAAAAUUUCUAGCAGUGGCAAGCAUGGUUAGGGCGAGCAACGAGGGUUCCUGUAGUGCAUAACCAUUUCAAGUCGCCCAAGUUCUAAAGAGAGAUCAGAAGUGCCAGCUACUGAAGCAAAAAAAAGGACCUGAUACACAUUGUAAUCAUGGACUGCUGAUAUACCUGAUGCAUUUCUUCAUGAUGGUCGAUUUCCUUUCACCGGAUCUUACAUGUUUAAUUAUGUGUGCUCGGAACCAAAAACUGAUUGAGAUCUUCAGUUCUUACUUGCAGAUGUUCUGUUAUUCAGAGUAAUUCAGUUUCCAGUCUCUGUUUAUUAAUCAAAUUAUGGGUUAUUUUCAACCAUAUAGGCUUUUAUUAUAUGCUCAGUUAUGCUUCCAUGGGUUUUGCAUAUGUAUUAACAAAACAACCAGACUGCUAUUCUGUAUAUACUUGGAUCAAAGGGUGUACAAUUAAUUUAAUCUUACGAAAGGAAUGAGUAGGCAGCUAGCAGAAUGGGAGGACAAUCAUGACAAGCGAAGGAACACAUAAAUAGUAAUCCCACAAUUUUUACAACUGCAUUCCACUUUAAUUUGGUAUGGACAUGCAUUUUUAUCCUUGGAGUACUUUGGAUUUUAAGUGGGAAUCAUUGGUUCUUUUCUUCUUAAUAUUUUACUUCUUAUAAUUACAAAUACCAAUUUUAGAGAAUUGAGCUCGUACUUAAAAUUCAAUUGAGUAUGAAGCCACUGCCCAUUGUGUGAAAGAAACAAUUAUAACAUUGUACUCUAACAAAUCACACAUAUAGAGAAAUGUUAUUUUCGAGUCUCCUUAACCUACUGAUCUUUUUUUAGAUAUAUGAAACUUGCAUUUGUUUUCUUAAUUCUUUUGCAAUGCAGGUGAUAUUCCUUGGUUGCAGCUGACGCUAAAAAAAAUUACUCCUGAAGCACUAGAAGUGCCCUCUCUAUGGUGCAUCACUCACUGGAUCCAGAUGGGCAACAUUCCGCUUCAAGAUUAAAGAGUACAGUUUUUGCAUGCUAUCAUUGCUUAUCCAAGAGUAAUCUACCAUGUGCCUAAUUGUUAUGACCGGCCAGGUCUAUGGCCGCCGCAGGCCUAACAGGCAGGCGUAGGCCAGCAAGUUACCUUAGUUUUAUUCAGAUUAGGCAAGUUAUCUCAGGAUUGAUUCUUCUACAAGUUAUCUAGGAUAUAAAUAUAGAUUGUAAGACUCUUUUGGAUGGAAGCAAUAAAGACUAUUAUUAUCUUUUGUUGCCCGGCUCCUAGAGGAGCCGGAAACCCUAGCCGCCGCAACCUAGCCGCCACCGCCCUCAACCCUAGCCGCGACGGCGCCCUGCCGCCGGCACGCCCGCUCCUCGCCGCGCCCACUUCCUCUUUGCCCCUACAACCUACGCAGUAGAGCCGGUAGGAACCCUAGUCCUACCAAUUUGGUAUUCAGAGACCACGUUGUGAUCAUGUCGAUGCCGCCAUCACCGCCGCCGCUGCCCGUCGGCACCACCGCGCCCAUGACGACGGCGCCAAGCAUCACCGCGCCGACCACAUCCGUCGGGACCUCGCUGGCGUGUCCCGUCUCCUCCUCGGCACCACCUGCACCGGCGUCUCCGGGCGCAUCUCCACCACCACCGCUGGCCGCCUUGUCUCCGGAGCAACUCGCCGCCACGCUACAUCACCUCGUCACCGUCGUCCACUGGCUUCAGCUCCACCAGCAAUAUAGGGCCGGGGCCUAUGCUCAACCACCAUCGGGCCCGAUCGCCGCCCCUGGUCUUCUCCUACAGCAGCAGCCGCAGUACGGGGGCGGGGCGAGCCCCUUCGCGCCACCACCAGGACCGUACCAGGGCGCGGCCGCGUACGGCGGGCCGCUGUUCGGGCCGAUCCAGGCGAGAUUGGCAUCCGGGCCAGCGCCGGCCGCGACGCCCCUCUGGCCUUUGCCGCCGGCCACCUCGGCCGCCUCCUAGCUGCAGCAGCUGCCGCCCACCGUCUGGCCGGUUCAGCAGAUGCCGUUCCCCGCAUGGCCGGCCCAGCAGCCGCCGCCGACGGCGUCCCAGGGCCUGCGUCCACCGCCAUUCUCUGCGCCCUCAUCAGCCGGGACCACCUCGGGCGCGGCCUCGACUAUCGGGUUACCGAUCCAUCAGGUCCAGUUUCCCCCGUCCCCGUCCCCCCUGCCAGCAUGGGCGGCGGGGUCUUCGCCUUCACCGGUCUACUCCACGACCCCGGUUGAGCCGACUCCGUUUUCGCAGUUCGGCGGGCCAUCCGGCCCCGCCGGCCAGUACCCGGACUACUCCGAUCAGGCACCUCCGGCUUCACUCUUCCGAGCCCCCGCGCCUGCUCAGCACGGCGGGCCGCAGGAGACACCGCCGCUGUUCACCAAACUCGACUUCGCCACCUAUGAGGGCACGGAUGACCCCCUCAACUGGCUCAACCAGUGCGAACAGUUCUUUCGAGGGCAGCGGACACUCGCUUCAGAUCGUACCUGGCUCGCGUCCUAUCAUCUUCGAGGCGCAGCACAGACCUGGUACUACGCCCUCGAGCAGGACGAGGGCGGCAUGCCACCGUGGGAGCGCUUCCAGGAGCUCUGUCUUCUCCGUUUUGGGCCUCCUAUCCGCGGGAGCCGACUGGCGGCCCUCUGCCGUUUACCAUUCACAUCUACGGUGCAGGACUACGCCGAUCGCUUCCAGGCCCUGGCAUGCCACGCGCCGGGCGUCUCCGCGACCCAGCGCGCCGAGCUCUUUGUGGGCGGUCUGCCGGACCAUAUCCGCGUGGACGUCGAGCUCCGGGAUCCCCCCGAUCUCCAGACGGCCAUGUACUACGCCCGGGCCUUCAAGCAGCGGGCCCAGGCACUGCAGCCGCCACUCGGACGGAGUGGCCGCCAGCCCAGUCGGCCAGCACCGACUUCCUCAGCCCCGGGUCGGCCUCUCCCAUCCGCGACGGCCACAUCCCCGGCUGCCACACGGCCCUUCCGUCGGCUGUCACCGGCCGAGCAGCAGGAGCGUCGCAGUCAGGGUCUCUGCUUCAACUGCGAUGAGCCCUAUACGCCGACCCAUGUCUGCCCCCGCCUCUUUUAUUUAGAGACGGUCGACUACACCGAGGAGAACGACUCGCCCGAUCCGUUACAUCCGCCUGCGGCGCCCGAGGACGCGGCCGCGGAUUCCGCAGCGACGGCGUGCAUCGUCUCCCUUCAUGCCCUGGCCGGCAUCCGGGGCGAGCAGACCAUGCUGCUGCCGGUGACGAUCCAUGGUGAGCGCCUGGUGGCCCUGCUAGAUACGGGCUCCACACACAACUUUCUGUCCGAAUCGACCAUGCGUCGGCUAGCCCUCCCGACGACGGGCGGGGAGCGCCUGCGGAUCACAGUGGCGAACAGUGAUCGCCUCCGGUGCCAUGGGCUAGCCCGCGACGUUCCCAUCUCCAUCAGCGACGAACACUUUUCCAUCACUUGUGCAGGGAUCGAUCUCGGCUGCUUCGACUUCAUCCUCGGGGUGGACUUUCUCCGGACCCUCGGCCCCAUCCUAUGGGAUUUCGACGCACUCAUGAUGACAUUCUGGCGGCAGGGACGCCGCAUCCGGUGGGAGGGCAUUGGGGGCGCCGCGGCUGCCGUGCCACAUCUCCAGCUUGCUGCCGCGUCCUUGGAGGUUGAGCACCCCCUACUGGAUUCUCUUCUAGAGCAGCACAACGACCUCUUCGACGCUCCGCGGGGUCUUCCGCCUGCCCGGGUGUACGACCAUCAUAUUCACCUCGUACCAGGCUCCACUCCGGUGGCGGUACGGCCCUACCGCUACCCCCAGCUGCAGAAGGAUGAGUUGGAGCGCCAGUGUGCCCUGAUGCUCGCCGCAGGCAUCAUCCGGAUCUCCACGUCACCCUUCACGGCGCCGGUGCUUCUCGUCCGUAAGUCCGACGGCACAUGCCGCUUCUGCAUCGACUACCGCGCCCUCAACGCACUCACGCUCAAGGACAAGUUCCCUAUACCGGUGGUCGACGAGCUCUUGGAUGAGAUCCAUGGGGCACGCUUCUUCACCAAGCUCGAUCUUCGGUCGGGCUAUCAUCAGGUGCGCAUGCAUCCGGACGACAUCGCCAAGACGGCGUUUCGCACCCACCAUGGCCACUUCGAGUUCUUGGUGAUGCCUUUCGGCCUCGCCAACGCCCCGGCGACUUUCCAAGCCCUGAUGAACGACGUCCUUCGACCCUACUUACGGCGGUUUGUGCUUGUUUUCUUUGAUGACAUUCUUAUCUACAGCGCCACCUGGGCCAAACAUCUCCAGCACGUCGCCAUCGUCUUCAACGAGUUUCGGGCGCACCACCUCCACCUUAAGCGCUCAAAGUGCUCGUUCGGGACACCUACCGUCGCCUACCUCGGCCAUGUCAUCUCGGCCGACGGAGUGGCUAUGGACGCCGAUAAGGUGGCGGCCGUCUCCGCCUGGCCGACGCCUUACUCACCGCGGGCUCUCCGCGGGUUCCUCGGACUCGCUGGCUACUACUGGAAAUUUAUCCGGGAGUUCGGACUCAUCGCGGCGCCCCUCGCGUGGUUGCUUCGCCGCGAUGCCUUCGCCUGGGACGCUGAGGCGACGACGGCAUUCGAGGCCCUCAAGGGGGACCUCACGACGGGCCCCGUCCUCCAGAUGCCCGACUUCGACCGUCCGUUCGUGGUGGACUGUGACGCCUCGGGCGCCGGGUUCGGCGCAUUACUUCAUCAGGGCGAUGGGCCCCUCGCCUUCUUCAGCCGGCCUUUCGCUCCGCGCCAUCUUAAGUUGGCCGCUUACGAGCGGGAGCUCAUUGGCCUCGUCCAGGCCGUGCGUCAUUGGCGGCCAUACUUGUGGGGGCGGACCUUCCACAUUCGCACGGACCACUACAGCCUGAAGUUCUUGCUGGAUCAACGGCUGUCGACCGUACCGCAGCACCAGUGGAUCAGCAAGCUCUUCGGCUUCGACUUCUUCGUCGAGUAUCGGUCGGGCCGUCUUAACACCUUGGCCGACGCGCUAUCCCGUCGCGAUUCCGACCUCGCGCCAACCGCCGACGCGUCCGCCGGGACGGCCCUGUGCAUCCGCUUCAGGCCAUCGUUCGGUCUCUUCACCGACAUUCGACGCGCCACUGCGACGGCCGAUGACGCCGCACUUCUUCAGCAGCAGCUUGCGGUCAGCGACUUGGAGGAGCCCUGGCGCUUCUCUGACGGACUGCUCCUGCAUGGACACCGGAUCUUUGUUCCGGCGCAUGAUGAUCUCCGUCACCAGGUGUUGCAGCUCGCUCACUCGGCGGGCCAUGAGGGUGUGCAGAAAACCCUCCAUCGUCUUCGCGCCGACUUCUACAUCCUUGGCGAUCGUGCCCUGGUCCGCGACUGGGUUCGGUCUUGUCAGACUUGCCAGCGCAACAAGACAGAAACCCUGAGACCGGCGGGGCUCCUUCAGCCCUUGGAGGUGCCGUCUCAGGUUUGGGCGGAUAUCUCCUUGGACUUCAUCGAGGGCCUUCCCAAGGUAGGGGGCAAGUCAGUCAUCCUCACGGUGGUCGAUCGCUUCUCUAAGUAUGCCCACUUCAUCGCGUUGGGCCAUCCGUACACAGCGGCAUCCGUGGCCCGGGCUUUCUUCAACGGCAUAGUCUGUCUACACGGGUUCCCGAUGUCGAUCGUCAGUGAUUGGGACCCAAUCUUCACGGGCCAUGUCUGGCGCGACCUCUUCAGGAUGGCGGGUGUCCAGCUCCGCCUGAGUAUGGCGUUCCAUCCUCAGAAUAACGGUCAGUCUGAGGUGGUUAACAAGGUCAUUGCCAUGUAUUUGCGUUGUGUGACAGGUGAUCGACCUCGCGCUUGGGUGGACUGGCUAUCUUGGGCGGAGUACUGCUACAACACUUAUUAUCACUCCACCCUGCGCGCGACGCCAUUUGAGGUGGUCUAUGGUCGACCACCCCCGCCUAUACUUCCGGUCGACCCGGAGACGGCUCGGACAGCAGUAGCGGGUGACCUUAUCUGCACCCGUGAUGAGAUGCUGGCUGAGGUCCGUCAGCGUCUCCUUCAGGCCCAGCAGACGGCCAAGCACUACUACGACGAUCAUCAUCGCGAGGCGGAGUUCGCAGUGGGUGACUGGGUGUGGCUGCGUCUUCUCCACCGCUCUACGCAGUCACAGGACCCGCAGGCAAAGCGCAAGCUUGGCCCUCGCUACGCCGGGCCCUUCCCUAUCAUGGAGCGCAUUGGGAAGGUGGCCUAUCGUCUUCAGCUUCCAGCCCGCGCCCGCAUCCACGACGUGUUCCAUGUGGGGCUGCUCAAACCUUUCCGUGGCGAGCCACCGGCGGCUCCUCCGACGCUUCCUCCAACCGCCGAUGGUCGCAUUCUUCCAGAGCCAGCAAAGGUGUUGCAGGCUCAGCUCCGUCGUGGCGUCUGGUUCAUCCUAAUUCAGUGGGCGGGCCUUCCGGAGGAAGAGGCGACUUGGGAGCAGCGUGAGGAUUUCCGUCAAAACUAUCCAGACUUUCAGCUCGAGGACGAGCUGUUUGCGCAGGCGGGGAGAGAUGUUAUGACCGGCCAGGUCUAUGGCCGCCGCAGGCCCAACAGGCAAGCUUAGGCCCGCAAGUUACCUUAGUUUUAUUCAGAUUAGGCAAGUUAUCUCAGGAUUGAUUCUUCUACAAGUUAUCUAGGAUAUAAAUAUAGAUUGUAAGACUCUUUUGGAUGGAAGCAAUAAAGACUAUUAUUAUCUUUUGUUGCCCAGCUCCUAGAGGAGCCGGAAACCCUAGCCGCCGCAACCUAGCUGCCACCGCCCUCAACCCAAGCCGCGACGGCGCCCUGCCGCCGGCGCGCCCGCUCCUCGCCGCGCCCACUUCCUCUUUGCCCCUACAACCUACGCAGUAGAGCCGGUAGGAACCCUAGUCCUACCACUAAUAUAUAUACAUGAUUGUUGCACCAUCACAAGAUUUCCAUUAUAUACAUGGGCAUAACUUUCUUUUACUGUGAAUUAAUCGACACGAUGCUUGUGUUUUAAGGAAUGGCAAUGCUAAAUUCUACAGUGGUACACUCUACUCUGUCGAAUGUUUACAAACACCACAAAGCUAGAGAUCUAUUGUGGAAACCUUUCUUUCUUUUGUUUGUUAUAACUUCUUAGUGUAAAAAUAAAUAUGGCUUGUCCAUUACGAAACAAAUAUGUAAGAUUUAUUACUUUUCAAAGUUGAAUUGUUCCUGACAAUUACACAUGAGAGUGCAUAUAAUUCAGUUGUGCUGACUUGCUGUUUCUAAAAUGAUAAGCUGGAGCUGGAGUUACAUAUGAGAGUACAGAUAAUUAAGUUGUGCUCCUGACUUGAUUAACAAAAGCUGCAGAAGAAAGGGACAAAAUACCAAAAAGCUGAAAAUUUGAAGAAAGGUGGAAGUAGGGAACUACCCAACUUGAUUCAAGAUUACGAAGGGAAAAAGGGCAUUGAUUGAGCAGGAGAAAACAAUAAUGGGCCGAGGCAAGGAUAUAGUGCUCAGUUAGUAAAGAGAUAUGUAGGAAGUGGAGCAGCGGGAUGCAAAUGGAAUUUUUGUGACUCACUGAAGGUGAGCAAAACUUCAGAAAAGAAAUUGCAACAGAAGUAGAGCCUCAUCACCAAGAGAACAUAGGGAUUUUAAGUUUUUUGUAGCCUGCACCGGAGACUGUAGAGUUAAGUUUCUACAUCUCAGUGUACAAUUUAACUAUAUCAG
rnacentral:lncRNA from 1 species